AGCAACAGCACUCAUAGCUACAGAUAUAAGUGUAAAAGUCUGGAUUGACAACUUAGAAGAAGAUAUAGCCAGCAGAGUGAGCAGAGAUCAUCUUAUAAAUUCUCUGAAAGAUGUUAGGCUGGCGACAGACUUUAUGCUAUAUGCUAUACAAAAGGCUGCUGAUGGUAAAAAGGCUUUUCUCCCUCAAUCCUACUGAAAGCCAUUUAACAUGACAUGGAGAGAC